GACGAACGCUGGCGGCGUGCCUAAUACAUGCAAGUCGAACGAAAAGACGAGGCUUUUGCUCCUUGGACGUUAGCGGCGGAGGGGUGAGAAACACGUGGAUCAUCUACCUAUCAGUCUGGGAUAACUACGGGACACCGGCUCUAAUACCGGAUGAUAUAUUGCACCGCGUUGGGCAAUAGUGAGAGUCGGUUUUUCGGUCAGUAAUCGCUGGAUACGGGCCGCUUUAGCUAGUUGGUAAGGUCACAGCUUUCCAAGGCGACGAUGCGUAGCCGAACGGAGAGGCGGAUCGGCCACACUGGAGCUUGAACGCGGUCCAGAGUCCUACGGGAGGCAGCAGACGGGAACCUUACGCAGUGGGCGAAAGCCUGACGGAGUAACGCCGCGUGAGUGACGGAGGUCUUGGGAUCGUAAAACUCUGUUAUUAGGGAAGAACAAAUGUGUCAUUAACUAUGCACGUCUUGACGGUACCUAGUCAGAAAGCCACGGCUAACUACGUG
rnacentral:rRNA from 1 species